AAUCCUCAUAAUCGUGUUUGUGGGACCGGAUAUCCGGUUCCGUAACCCACACCUCGCAGCUAUGCUGAAGUAGAUGGUUGGUGGCGUUAUUGGGGACGGGCCAUGUGCUUGAUGCCCGAAACUGCAGAUNNNNNNNNNNGAUUUUAUUGCGCUGGUGGGGAGCACGAUUGCUUGGACAGUCCCCGCCUCUGCACAGACGAUGCCCGUCA
rnacentral:misc_RNA from 1 species